rnacentral:rRNA from 1 species
UACGAAGGGGGCUAGCGUUGUUCGGAAUCACUGGGCGUAAAGCGCACGUAGGCCGACGGAUAAGUCGGGGGUGAAAUCCCAGGGCUCAACCCUGGAACUGCCUCCGAUACUGUUCGUCUUCGAGUCCGGGAGAGGUGAGCGGAAUUCCGAGUGUAGAGGUGAAAUUCGUAGAUAUUCGGAAGAACACCAGUGGCGAAGGCGGCUCACUGGCCCGGUACUGACGCUGAGGUGCGAAAGCGUGGGGAGCAAACAGG